UUGCACUUUAAUCAUAGGCCUUCUCUCUGAUAUUUGAUAGUUUGGCCUGAGCAAGGUGCAGAAAGUGAAAUUUAUUCAGCCAUCUUAUUUUGAUGGUUAGUGAUGGAUCCACAGGUCAGUGGCUUUUGUCUGCUGCUUGCCUACUAAUUCCAUCUCACAUAU